UUUUCCGGUUGAUCCUGCCGGACCUGACUGCUAUCGGAUUGAUACUAAGCCAUGCGAGUCAUUGUAGCAAUACAAGGCAGACGGCUCAGUAACGCGUAGUCAAUCUACCCUAUGGACGGGAAUAACCUCGGGAAACUGAGAAUAAUGCCCGAUAGAACAUUAUGCCUGGAAUGGUUUAUGUUUCAAAUGAUUUAUCGCCAUAGGAUGGGACUGCGGCCUAUCAGUUUGUGGGUGAGGUAAUGGCCCACCAAGACUAUUACAGGUACGGGCUCUGAGAGGAGUAGCCCGGAGAUGGGUACUGAGACACGGACCCAGGCCCUAUGGGGCGCAGCAGGCGAGAAAACUUUGCAAUGUGCGAAAGCACGACAAGGUUAAUCCGAGUGGUUUCUGCUAAAGAAACCUUUUGUCAGUCCUAGAAACACUAACGAAUAAGGGGUGGGCAAGUUCUGGUGUCAGCCGCCGCGGUAAAACCAGCACCUCAAGUGGUCAGGAUGAUUAUUGGGCCUAAAGCAUCCGUAGCUCGUUUUGUAAGUUUUCGGUUAAAUCCAUGCGCUUAACGUAUGGGCUGCCGGGAAUACUGCAUAACUAGGAAGUGGGAGAGGUAGACGGUACUCGGGAGGAAGGGGUAAAAUCCUUUGAUCUCUUGAUGACCACCUGUGGCGAAGGCGGUCUACCAGAACACGUUCGACGGUGAGGGAUGAAAGCUGGGGGAGCAAACCGGAUUAGAUACCCGGGUAGUCCCAGCUGUGAACGAUGCAGACUCGGUGAUGCACUGGCUUUUGGCCAGUGCAGUGCCGCAGGGAAGCCGUUAAGUUUGCCGCCUGGGAAGUACGUACGCAAGUAUGAAACUUAAAGGAAUUGGCGGGGGAGCAC
rnacentral:rRNA from 1 species